AGUAAGGGAAAGCCGCCGGAGCUGGAGACAGGCUGGAAAGAGCAGGUAACAGCCCACAAGGAGCGGGGGCCCUGGCUGUCAGACUCAACUUGCAGGACCAUCAAGUGCAGGUGUGGUUCAAGAACCGGGGCCGCUUGCUCUGCGGUAGCAACGGCACAUAACCGCAGCGAUGACCAGGGCAGCCAAGCCAGCAGCCGGGACCCCGGGAUGCUCUUGGCACAUGAUCCGACUCCCCUGCCUUUGCGGGUCCUGUACUCCCGCGAGGUCCAGGAUUGUGCAGCCCCUCCCCAACCGGCCGUUGGGAAUCUUCGCAGCAGCAGAACCCGCUGCCUCCAGGUCCGACCAGACCUGCAUAGGUAGAGAGUCCCCGCACAGGGCGGCCAGCAGAGCUACCCAGCUGCCCCAGGGCCUCGGGACCCCUGGGCCUGGGACCCAGGCCAGACCCUGACUCAUUCGGUGAUCUCACAGGACUCCUCCCACCCCAAGACCCUUUCAGGGACCCUGCCUCGAACUCCACGACAUGGGAGGCAGGGGCGGGCCUUUUGCAGGGGAAGGACUCCCCCAGCAGGACGUUUACUGAAUCUGGAGGGAGUCGCCCUGCAGAUAUCCCGCGGAAGCCGGAGGAGACCCAGGUGCGCCCCACCGGCUAGCUGCGCCUGCGGGUGCCCAAAUUGGUGUCCGGGCCAUCCUCACCGCAGUGACUCCUCCGCAGCGCCAACGCACUCCAUUUUCCUUCCACCCUGCCGGUGGGGGGCGUUUGCUUGUUCUCACUCUGCAGCCGCAGCCAGUGGCGCCGCUACCAAGGUCCCCGCCUCGCCAUCCGGGUCCUGCCUGAGCAUCCUUAUUGGUGCUCAGGGCUAGGCGUGCAUUGCUGCUAGGGGCGCGGAAAGGUUUAUCGUGGGUGGAUGCUGCCCGGGGCUUGAGUGGUUUUUAGAGGUCUUGAGUGGCUCACUCUCCAAUCAGCGCUUUCUAGAGACAGCGUGGUCAGCGUACUUGCUUACUUUCAGGAUUGCGAGACGUCUUUAACCCUUGCUGAUCGGCUGACGCUGCAGCUUCCUGUGGCUUCCUGCUCAUUUCCCGCAAGAUAGCACUGAUAGGCAAUUCCAUUUUGGAAAAUUUAUCCUGAGGAAAUAAAUAAAGAU
rnacentral:lncRNA from 1 species